UAACAGGUAUAGGGAUUACAGGAUCCUGGCUGCGGCGACAUAGCGAUGGUAUAUUCUAA
rnacentral:misc_RNA from 1 species